CCUGGCGGCCGKAGCGCGGUGGUCCCACCUGACCCCAUGCCGAACUCAGAAGKGAAACGCCGUAGCGCCGAUGGUAGUGUGGGGUCUCCCCAUGCGAGAGUAGGGAACUGCCAGGC
rnacentral:rRNA from 1 species